GAAUGUGUCUGGAAAUAUCCAAACAGCACAUAUUCAUUCCAUACAUCUUUUCAAUAAAUCAUUGAAUAUAUAUAUAUAUAUAUAUAUAUAUAUAUAUAUAUAUAUAUAGUGGGAUAAAUCUCCGAUAUAAUCUUCUAGAGUGCUCGACGUGGCCUCACGGAGCUACAUAAAUUGAUGAUCAGAUGGAGUUCAAUCACAUGACAUUUAUUUCUCUACAGGCUGUUUCGUAAGGGGAUGGUUUCCCCUCACUCGUCGGGAGAAAACUGACAUCUAACGAAAAACAUCCGCGUGGCUGAGAAUAUGUUACACAGAAACAUACUGGAUAGUUGCUAAGCAUGGUUACACACAGGAUUGAGUAAAUAGAAAUUUAUGGGAAUGACGGCAAGUGCUGACAAGUUCUGAACGCUUAUUCAAUGAAGAUUUUUCGGGAUGACAUAUUAUAAAGAAUUUCUCUAGAAUACAAAGGUUGCAAACAUGUCGAAGGUAGUUAUCAAUGAUAUUGUGCAUCGACCCUCAGCUUUCCUGGCUCUACUCGGACUUCUCUCCCUUGGACAGGGGUUGUUCUAUUUGACAUUCUCCGGAUUAACUUCCAUGCCGUGCAACCCGCUGAUGGUGCUGGGAUUAAACGCUCUGUCGACCGGAAUAACCCUCAUCAUUAUAGCAAAAGUUUGUUUCAAACCUGUAAAUUCGGGAAUUGUCGAAAAACAGAACAAAGAGAUUCCCACGAAGGAUGGUUUUGAAGCUGGUGACAGAAAAAGAGUUGACGACCUACUGAAAAUCCACAACACGGAGGAUGACAAGUCGUCUGACUUCCUUCACUCUGAAGAAAUAAAGGAUAAAAAACUCAAUUGAACCACAAACUAUGAAUAUUGUAUAUUCCAUAGUUUUUAGAAUGUGUUAUUAAUUCGUAUAGUUUGUAUUCUAUGUGACGUGAAGUAAAGUCACACAAAGAAUAAGUUGUUACAUGUAGCAUAUGUGAGCUAAAGGUUAAUGCGAUCAUGUGCUUUCCUUGCCACCUUCUGCCCUGCGUGGUCUUGUUGACUGACUAGCUUAAACUUUUCACAUCUUUGUCUUCUUCCUCAAUAUUUACUGGGCUCUUUUCUGCCAAAAGCGACAUGUCACAAUGCAUCCCGAGGUAAAGGGAUCCAAAGGUUCAACGAAGGACCACGCCUCCUGGCAAUGAUAAACAAGAUACUCCCUAGCUGGUACGGGCUGGCCACAAAGGCUGCUCAAAGUUUUACAUAGGAAUGCAUUCUUGUUAUUUUUCUCUAAAACCAUGUACAAGGGGAUGAUAUGUCAAAGUAACAUGCAAUCAUCUAAACGUGGUGUACAUUACAAUUUGUUCACAUCAUGAACUCUCGGUUUUCCAAAGGAAUCUUCAAGAACCACAUGGAAUAGAAACAAAUGAACCCAGGUAGAGGGGGCAGAAAGGGGUUUGAAGACCACCAAAAUAAAGUGGUUUGCAACGAUGCUACUCUUAAAAUUUUGAUAUCCUCAAUCUCCUGGUGAAUAUACUUGCACAUGGUAUAUAAACUACUUCAGGUACAAGAUUGAAUGUUCGACCCCAUGUUGUCAGGACUUUUAUAUUUGCAUGAUCAGUAACUUAAUAAUAAUAUGUUUGAAAGAUUUCGACAAUUUUUUUUUAAUGUUUAUACGUAUUACAUGUAUAUUGAUUAUAUUUUUAUGAGAUAUAUUUUUUAAACGGACCAUCUGUUUUUUUUUUUAUAUACGUUUACCAUAUUGUGUAUUUUGUGUUGUAAGCUUGAAUAUAGCAUGUUGUGAGCUUUGAUAUACUACAAGAAAGUAAUUAAACAUUUGCAUAAGG